rnacentral:misc_RNA from 1 species
GAUGAAGAACGUAGCAAAAUGCGAUACUUGGUGUGAAUUGCAGAAUCCCGUGAACCAUCGAGUUUUUGAACGCAAGUUGCGCCCGAAGCCUUUUGGCCGAGGGCACGUCUGCCUGGGCGUCACGCAUCGCGUCGCCCCCCACAAUUCUCCGUAAAGGGAACGUGUGUUUUGGGGGCGGAUAUUGGUCUCCCGUGCUCAUGGCGUGGUUGGCCGAAAUAGGAGUCCUUUCGAUGGACGCACGAACUAGUGGUGGUCGUAAAAACCCUCGUCUUUUGUUUCGUGCUGUUGCGCGCAAGGUAAACUCUUUAAAAACCCCAAUGCGUCGUCUCUUGACGACGCUUCGACCGCGACCCCAGGUCAGGCGGGACUACCCGCUGAGUUUAAGCAUAUCAAUAAGCGGAGGA